CACGUAAGGGGCGAGCGUUGUUCGGAAUUAUUGGGCGUAAAGGGCGCGUAGGCGGUCAUCCAAGUCUGGUGUUAAAGGCUGGGGCUUAACUCCGGUUUGGCGCUGGAAACUGGGUGACUUGAGUUUGAGAGGGGAAGCUAGAAUUCCUGGUGUAAGGGUAAAAUCUGUUGAGAUCAGGAAGAAUACCCGUGGCGAAGGCGAGCUUCUGGUUCAAAACUGACGCUGAGGUGCGAAAGCAUGGGGAGCAAACAGG
rnacentral:rRNA from 1 species